rnacentral:snoRNA from 1 species
UUGCAUUGUGGUAUGUCGGUGAAAGCUCAGCACUUUCUCUGAGUGUAACCAUCAUACCAAUGCUAGAUGAACCCCAUCUUGCAGAAGGGUGAGGUCUGACAGUGGCGUUCUCUCUUUCGAAAGUUGGGUACAUUA